UCUCAAAGAUCAAGCCAUGCAUGUCUCAGUGCAAGCCGAAUUAAGGUGAAACCGCGAAAGGCUCAUUAAAUCAGCUAUGAUUCAAUUGAUGGUACGAUCACGGUUACUUGGAUAACUGUGGCAAUUCUAGAGCUAAUACAUGCUAAACGAGUUCCGACCGCGGGUUCGAACGAUCUCGCGGAACGAAUGCUUUUAUUAGAACAAAACCAAUCGGAUCUCAAUCGAGAUCCGCAAAUCUAUGACGAAUCUGAAUAACUUUGAGCUGAUCGCACGGUCUCUGGAACCGGCGACGCAUCUUUCAAAUGUCUGACUUAUCAACUUUCGAUGGUAGGCUACGCGCCUACCAUGGUGAUAACGGGUGACGGGGAAUCAGGGUUCGAUCCCGGAGAGGGAGCCUGAGAAACGGCUACCACAUCCAAGGAAGGCAGCAGGCGCGCAAAUUACCCACUCCCGGCACGGGGAGGUAGUGACGAAAAAUAACGAUGCAGGACUCUUUUCGAGGCUCUGCAAUCGGAAUGAGAACACUCUAAAUCAUUUAACGAGUAUCCAUUGGAGGGCAAGUCUGGUGCCAGCAGCCGCGGUAAUUCCAGCUCCAAUAGCGUAUAUUAAAGUUGCUGCGGAUAAAAAGCUCGUAGUUUGAUUUGUGUUCCGAGCAGUCGGUACGCCGUUCGUCGGCGGUCAACUGACUCGCGGCGGAACGUCCUGCCGGUUGACGGAGCGGGAGGCGGCGGMGGCGGCGCGAGUCGUCGCCGCCGCCUUGAGUGGUCGGAGGGAAGAGCACCGCGCGAUCUUCGGAUCGCGGCGCGCGCUUCNCUCGUCNGACGACGUUUCUGCGUCCGUCAGUCAUUGAGAAAAUCCCGUCGCGGCGCUCUUAACCGAGUGACGCGCCGGGCCGGCACGUUUACUUUGAACAAAACUGAGUGCUUAAAGCAGGCCGAACCCAAGCGCCUGAAAGUCGGAUGCAUGGAAUAAUGGAAUAGGGCCUCGGUUCUAUUUUGUUGGUUUUCGGAAUUUCCGAGGCAAUGAUUAAUGGGGACAGGCGGGGGCAUUAGUAUUGCGGCGUUAGAGGUGAAAUUCUUGGAUCGUCGCAAGACUAACCUAAGCGAAAGCAUUUGCCAAGGAUGUUUUCCUUAAUCAAGAACGAAAGUUGGAGGUUCGAAGGCGAUCAGAUACCGCCCUAGUUCUUACCGUAAACUAUGCCGGCUAGCGAUCCGUCGAUGUUCGUNCAGAUGAUUCGGCGGGCAGCUUGAGGGAAACCAAAGCCUUCGGGUUCCGGGGGAAGUAUGGUUGCAAAGCUGAAACUUAAAGGAAUUGACGGAAGGGCACCACCAGGAGUGGAGCUUGCGGCUUAAUUUGACUCAACACGGGAAACCUCACCAGGCCCGGGCACCGGAAGGAUUGACAGAUCAAGAGCUCUUUCUUGAUUCGGUGGGUGGUGGUGCAUGGCCGUUCUUAGUUGGUGGAGCGAUUUGUCUGGUUAAUUCCGAUAACGAACGAGACUCUAGCCUGUUAACUAGGCGACGAUCUCUUGAUCAUCCGGCAUGGAACGGCGGCGCGCGCGC
rnacentral:rRNA from 1 species